ensembl:lincRNA Gm11548 predicted gene 11548
GAAGCAAGCCAGUAAGCAGCAUCCCUCCAUGGCUUCUGCAUCUACUCCUGCCCCCAAGUUCCUACCCUGUGUGAGUUCCUGUGCUGACUUCCUUUGGUGAUGAACAGCCAUGUGGAAGUAGCCAUAUACCACAGAUGUGAAGUACUUAAAAAGUUGAAAUUGUCCUUGUUACUGUCUUUGCCCCAUGCUGCAGUUUGGGUAAACAUGAGACGUUGGGAGAGCUGGGGAGAUGACUGAAGAUAAACUGCAUAGUGUGCAAGCUGGAGGACCUAAGCUUGGAUCCUCAUCACCCAGGGUACUCACCAUGCAUGCCAACGGCACAGCAGAGUAUGGCUCAGAAAGGCUGCCACUGAAGAGGAGGAACUGCAGAAAUCCACCUGGAAUAUCAAUCACGUGUACCCCAACAAAACAUACCUGACUCGCCGGUUUUCACCCCGCUUCGUGGCUACCUGCUGACAGCUAUCAUACUGGAUUUUGGUGUAGAUUGACACCUUACUCAAUCCAAUCACACAGUCUCCUUUGCCUCUGAUCACACUGCCUGAUCUUUGAAAGCAAGACCCUUUGCCUGCCCUAUGUGUGUGGUACCCAUGUCCAUCAACAAGGUUCCUCUGCAUCCUUGAGCUAUGAGAAGUGAGAGGCUGCCACUCCCAACCUCUGUUUCUUCAACACAAGCAGGACAGUGGAUAGCAGCUUUCGCGACAGCUAUGCCUACUAGUCAUGACAACACUUGUCUCUGUAUCCGCUGGUCCUUUGAGUCGAACUGCACUGUUCUGCCUGGCGUCUGGCCAGGAUGCCCAUUUCAGAAGAAUUUCUAUUUUCUUUCUCAUUGUUCCCCAACAGAAAUGAUCUCACCGUGACUCAGCUCUAGCUCAUGGAUUCCCCUUAUGUAUUACUUACUGCUUGAUGCUCCCAGUUAGAGAGGCAGCACUAAAAACGUCAGAGCACUGACAUCCUGGACUCAGUCCCUCGGUCCCCCAUAUGAAAUACAGAGAUGAUGUGCUUCUGUGUCAUUGGACUCUGUGAGGGACACGUGCUAGCCGUUUAAUCCCUGAGCUAUAGCAGUUUUUGAGACAGGUCUUCAUGUAACCCAGGCUAGCCUUGAACUUUCUCUGUAGCUAAAGAUGAGCUUAAAUUCUUGGUCCUCCCCAUCCCAAAUGCUGAGUUUGCAGGGAUGCCCCCAUCAUACCCAUCUGUGCAGGUAUCCGAGGGGGUCCGAAGAGGUGUUGGAUCCCCUGGAACUGGAGUUGCAGGCAAUUGUGAGCGACACAAAAUGGGUGCUGGGAAUCAAACUCCAGUUCUCUAGAAGAGCAACAAGCAUUACUAACCACUGGGCCAUCCUUCCAGCCCCCAUAACCUUGAACUUUUGACUCUUCAUUUCAGCCUCCUCGGUAGUUUGGAUUACAGGCCUGGUCAGCAAUAAUCCUUUUGAAGUAUAUUGAACACACAUGCUCGUGUGUCACAUAUACAGACUAUUCAAUGGCUGUCAGCUAGCGUUUUCUCAGGCUGGCAUUGCUGGCUUCUUACUUCUUGCCCUGGCACAUCUUUUCUCUGACAAAGCACUACUCACCUUUUGCUAGGGUUUCAGAUCCACUUGGCUUACAGCCUAUACUUGUAUAGAGACAACUAAAGUCCUUGUCCUCUACCCAGCCUUCUUAGUCUGUUUCUGUGCUAUUGAUACCUCUGUGUACUAGCUACAUUUCUGUUGCCAUGAUGAAGCACCCUGACCAGGCCAAUGGGAAGGAAAUUAUUUGACUUCCAAUUCUAUAAUUUUGAGGAGGUUAAGAUCUCAAGCCACUAGUCAUAUUAUAUAGUCAUAUUAUAUAGUCAUAUUAUAUAUGUAGCCACGAUGAGGGAGUAAUGAAUGCAUUCACAAUACUGGCUUGCUACUGGCUGGCCAUUGCCUGUGUUGUACUAUUCACUGCCCAAGGGAAUGGUGCCGCCCACAAUGGACUGGGUCUUCCUAUAUCAGUUAAUAGUCAAGACGACCCCUUCCCCAAAAUAUGUACACAGGGCAACCUGUGAGAUAAAAUUUGUCAAUCACUUUAAACCCAUGUCCCCUAUUUUCUUACAAGGAGUAUCUUUCCUGGGAAAGGGCUCCAUGCUUAGGAUUUUAUCUCACUUCAGAUUUGUCCCCAUAUGUGUCCUUCCCUGGUAGGUCUGGGGAGGUCCUAAUUAGCUUCAUCUUGGAGUCUUCAAUACAAAUCCACGUGAAGUGUUUACCUGG